AAUGGAUGAUCGGAUUAUUCAAUUUAAGAUUAGAGUUAUUGAUCUUUAUUUAGGUAGUGAAUAGAAUUUUCUAUCACAAAUUCAAAAUAUUACAAUUCUUUUACACAGUUAAACUAGCAAAUAUUCCAUACCGGCCGUUAAAAAUUGUCAAUUUUGUGACCUUUUGAUCGUAAGGUAAAUAAUGUCGAAAAAUUAUAAAAUUUGAUUUCUAAAUAUUUUAAAUGCCCUAGAUAAUGUUUAAUGGUAUGGAUCGUCAAUUUGAAAGCUUUAUCAUCGAAAACGACUUUAAAGUAUAAGGACGAUCGUACUCAUAAGUAUAUGGGCAAUCGAA
rnacentral:lncRNA from 1 species